rnacentral:rRNA from 1 species
UACGAAGGGGGCUAGCGUUGUUCGGAAUUACUGGGCGUAAAGCGCACGUAGGCGGACAUUUAAGUCAGGGGUGAAAUCCCAGAGCUCAACUCUGGAACUGCCUUUGAUACUGGGUGUCUUGAGUAUGGAAGAGGUGAGUGGAAUUCCGAGUGUAGAGGUGAAAUUCGUAGAUAUUCGGAGGAACACCAGUGGCGAAAGGCGGCUCACUGGUCCAUUACUGACGCUGAGGCACGAAAGCGUGGGGAUCAAACAGG